rnacentral:tRNA from 1 species
GGACUUUUAGCUCAGCUGGUUAGAGCAGACGGCUCAUAACCGUCCGGUCGUAGUUCGAGUCCUACAAAGUCCA